GGGCCCGGCCCGGCCCUAACGGCCGCGGGGCCCUAACGGCUUUAACGGCCGCAACGGCCGCCCGCGCUCCGCCGCGCCACGGCAGCGAAAGGCCUCCGGCUCCCGGUCCUUCCCUCCCGUUAACCUAACCUUCAGGGCCGGAGCUACCGCUUUAGCGCCAGCACAGUUCAAGCUCUUGCCGCAGCACGGAAGCAUAGGCCAGUUCUCAGCCUGGGUGUCACAGCUGGUUAUUUUAAUCACAAUUUUUUUUGCCUGAGGAGCAGCUCAAAACAGAAGACAGACUCGCCUUUACCUCUCUCUAAAAGUGGAAGGCAUUAAAGACAGACAUCAAAAAUAGCAGUAGCCCCUUUGCUAAUCUGCAACUGCAAGCAAGUUACAGCUUUUAAACACCAAGAAUUAGGCCUAUGUGAACUGGGCAAUAGAAGGGAGAAGGAAGCAUCUUCAUUACAGAAGAUGAAAAUGCUUAAAUGGAUACUCUAAGCAAAACGGUCUCACUGCAGCAAAGCUGUUUCCAUAGUCAAGGAGGAUGCGCUUGCUUAGAAACUCUGGAUAAGGAACAGCCCAAACGCUCUUCAUUCUCAUCAGAUUUAUGAACCUCCACUAAAGAUGCGCUUGAAACACUGAAGAUACCAUGGAUAUUGACUCUAACUUUGACUUUCACUUUUGAACUGGAUCCAUCUGUUUGAGGCGUGACCUUCUGAACCAAGAAGUGAGCUAAAAAAUUGUUCCAAUUAAAAUAACCAGUGAACGUAAAGUAAAUCCUGAAUAUUGCUUGUAACAGAUCACUAUACUGCAUGCAGAGGAUAUUAAACUCUAUUCAAAGCCAAUUUGAUUUUUUAGUAAAUAAUGAUAGAAUA